rnacentral:rRNA from 1 species
GGGAGCUUGCUCCCCGCUGACGAGCGGCGGACGGGUGAGUAAUGCAUAGGAAACUGCCCAGUAGUGGGGGAUAGCCCGGGGAAACCCGGAUUAAUACCGCAUACGCCCUUCGGGGGAAAGCAGGGGAUCUUCGGACCUUGCGCUAUUGGAUGUGCCUAUGUCGGAUUAGCUAGUUGGUGGGGUAAGAGCCUACCAAGGCGACGAUCCGUANCUGGUCUNAAAAGGAUGAUCAGCCACAUCGGGACUGAGACACGGCCCGAACUCCUACGGGAGGCAGCAGUGGGGAAUAUUGGACAAUGGGGGCAACCCUGAUCCAGCCAUGCCGCGUGGUGUGAAGAAGGCUUUCGGGUUGUAAAGCACUUUCAGUGAGGAGGAAAACCUUAAGUUUAAUACGCUUGAGGCUUGACGUUACUCACAGAAGAAGCACCGGCUAACUCCGUG